GCCCCGGUAGCUCAGCUGGAUAGAGCGUUUGCCUCCUAAGCGAAAGGUCGCAGGUUCGAAUCCUGCUCGGGGCACCA
rnacentral:tRNA from 1 species